rnacentral:rRNA from 1 species
UACGAAGGGGGCCAGCGUUGCUCGGAAUCACUGGGCGUAAAGGGUGCGUAGGCGGAUCUUUUAAGUCAGGGGUGAAAUCCUGGAGCUCAACUCCAGAACUGCCUUUGAUACUGAGGAUCUCGAGUUCGGGAGAGGUGAGUGGAACUGCGAGUGUAGAGGUGAAAUUCGUAGAUAUUCGCAAGAACACCAGUGGCGAAGGCGGCUCACUGGCCCGAUACUGACGCUGAGGCACGAAAGCGUGGGGAGCAAACAGG